rnacentral:rRNA from 1 species
AACGAACGCUGGCGGCAUGCCUAACACAUGCAAGUCGAACGAGACCUUCGGGUCUAGUGGCGCACGGGUGCGUAACGCGUGGGAACCUGCCCUUAGGUUCGGAAUAACUCCCCGAAAGGGGUGCUAAUACCGGAUAAUGUCUUCGGACCAAAGAUUUAUCGCCUUUGGAUGGGCACGCGUUGGAUUCGCUAGUUGGUAGGGUAAAAGCCUACCAAGGCGACGAUCCAUAGCUGGUCUGAGAGGAUGAUCAGCCACACUGGGACUGAGACACGGCCGGGACUCCUACGGGAGGCAGGAGUGGGGAAUAUUGGAAAAUGGGCGAAAGGCUGAACCAGCAAGGACGCGUGAGCGAUGAAGGCCUUGAGGUUGAAAAGCUCUUUUAACCGGGAUGAUAAUGACAGUACCGGGAGAAUAAGCUCCGGCCAACUCCGUG